UUUUUGAUGAUUGAUAAUGGAGAUAUUGUUGAUAAUGUGAUUUUACAAAAUGGCGCGUAGAUGACGUCACGAUGACCGUUUGACGGUAAACUUGUUUCGUACACAUCGCAUGAUAACUGUCCACAUUUGAUAAUAUUUUGAUGAAAAUUGAUUGAAUAGUUUUGAUGAUUUUGGUGGAACAAGAAAAGGGUGGAAAAAGAAAAAUAAACUAGAAUUUUAAUUCGUCUUACGGACGAAUUAGGUGAUCUGUCUGUGAAUCUCAUGAUUAUGAUCUAUUUUUUAUAAUGAUCACCAUGUCAAUGCAGAUCAAUAUGAGCAUCAUGAUAUUAAGCGCAGUUUUAUUAAUGAAAGGACAUGUUGAAUACUGUUGAAAGACAUUAUUUGAAAGAAAAGUUUGUAAAAAAAACUUCUUUUCUAAAGAAUGACAAUUCAAAUUUAGCAAGUGAUAACACGAAAUAGUGAGCAGUGGUGAUGAAAGCAAGAAUCUAGAAUCCAGUUUUGAAAAAUUUAAAUCAGUAUCCAUAGACUAGAUUUUUGGUUACCUCAUGAACAAUCAUGACCAAAUGACCUUUUAUUUCUUACAUUACGAUAGGUAGAUUUCAUUGCAAGAUAUUAUGCAAGCAUGUCUUACAUAGCAGGAUGGAGAAAUUGCAUAGACCAAGUGAAUAGAAAGCAAAGCAAUGAACACUGAUGGAGGUAUUUGGAAUGCGUUCAGCAUGUUUUUAUAACAAUACUUGGCCAACUCUGAAAUACCAGUUGCUAGUACACGUAUUGUUGUUUUUAUGCGUGUAUUAAAACGCACAAUUCAAAAGAAAAAUCAAGACAUCAAGGUUGUUGCUAAUAUCUCAUUAAAUAUAAAACAGUCAUGUCACUUUAGUACGAAUGAACUUCUUAUCAUGCGCAGAAUGGAACCCCAAACUGGCUUAUGGGGGUUACACGCAAAAUAAGACAAAACUUAAUAAAUAAAAAAAUAGAUCCUGAUGGGUUUCGAUCCAGGGACCCUCGCAUUACAAGGCAGAUGCACUAACCAUUCGACCACAGUAACUGCCAUGCGCUUUCAAGGCAACGAUGAAAUAUAACCUCAAAUUGAAUUUUUCAAGUGCAAGUUUUAUCAUAAUGAUAUACUUUUAUACAUUGUUAAUAUUUAUGAUGAUCUCUUGCUUAAAAUGAUAAGAUUGUAAAAUAAUUUGGAAGAAUAUAAAACCAGCUACAAUAUGUAGAAAACCAGGCUUAAAAACGACCAAUGAUUACGGAGUUAUA